GGCCUACCAAUGCUUACUACAUGCUGUGUUCUUUACACUGGCUGUAUAGAAGAGGAGAUACAGUAAAUGCUCCCCAUGCACACCUCAAACCAUGCCCUAUGCCUGGACUGUUCUGUGAAUGGGUAGAAAAAA